rnacentral:lncRNA from 1 species
UAAGUCCAGACUAAAACCACCUACCCUUUGCCCCUAGAAAGAAGAGAAGGAGGGGCCUAUAACCAGGUUCGCGCAAGCGCUCUCCCCUCUACACCCUCACCUUGGGCCCCUGCAGGGCUCACAUGAGGACACGCCUCCUCCUCGCGCCUCCACGGCGCGCAGCCAAUCAGCGUUCCAGGGCGUCGCGGGUGGGACUGCCCCUUGCCCCUCGCACCUCCUCCCGCACGCGCCAGGACACGCCCAUUCCACGGGCCGACCUCCCCAAGCCCUAGCGCCUCGUCAGCAUGCAGCUAGCUGUCGCUGCUUCCUCCCCUGCGGACUUCGGAGGGUCCCCAGGACCGUUGUGUUGUCCUCUCACACUCUCUCGCUGUCCGGUUCCUACCCAGAGGUGUGGGGCGGGACCGAGAACCCGAGAGGCGAUGAGGGAGGCCCGGCGCGGCCUCUCGGAGGCAAAGCGCGGUCUGAGGGAAAUGCCUGGCGAGUCCUGUCGGACCCUCGCGGGACCGGUUCCCACCGCAGCCGGUGGGCAGGGCUUCUCCCCGCCCGGAACUCGUUCUCCGGUCCGCUGAAUGCAGACAGCAAGCCGGGCCGGCCCCCCGCACGGGACUGCGGAGGAAGGAGAUUCCUUGGAAUGAAACCAAUGGGAGAUCAGGGUUUGGGAGAGUCUCAUCAGAGCAGAUGGGCCAGCAGCAGCCAGAAAGCUUGUUGCCUUUGGCUGAGAGCACCAUCCUGGAUCUGACGUCUUGUGAGUAAACCCCAGCAGGCUCAGCCUUAGGCCAGAGUGAAGUUGGCCUGCUUCUCCUUGAAGAGGAACCUAAUGUACUCCCACAUCUUCCCUCCCCUCUUGUUGAUGUGAAAAUCACAUUCCCAGAGAGCUCUUCAACUUAAAGCCAUGUUGCCCAUUAACAGCCCUUGGGAGGAUGGCUUCUUAGUGCUUUUGGUCCCUUGGUAUAUUUGAAAGUAUGCUGCAUGAACGAUCAGGAGGCCUGGGUUCUGGUUCUUACCCAACCACAGUUUUUCUUGGGGCCUUAAGCAAAUUUUUCCUCCCUAGGCCACAGUUUUUCCUAGCUAUAAGGUUGUUUAUAAUAACGAUAGUUUCCAUUUAGGAAAUAUUCAUUUUUAUGUGCAACAUAUAAUUUCAUAGAAUUCUUUCAAUAAUCAGUCCUAUGAGAUAGGCACUGUUAUUGUCCCAUCUUACAGAUAAGAAAACUGAGGCUUAAGAAUUCUCAUCCCCUAAACAUCCUAUUCAAAUCUCUAGCCCCCACCCCUGGCCAACACUCCUUUCUCUGCUUUAUUUUAGCUAUAGCACUUAGUUCCACAUGAAAUACUAUAUAUUUUACUUUUUUGUUUUCCCUUUCCCCCUACAAGACUGUAAGCUCCAUUAAGGAAUGGAUUUUGUCUUUAUGUUGUUGUUGCUCAUUUGCUGUGUUUCCAGGGUUUAGAAUAGUGCCUGGCACAUGGUAGGCACUCAAAUAUUGGUUGAAUGAAUAAAAUGGAUGAAUGAUCUCUUGGUAGGAGUAUA